rnacentral:rRNA from 1 species
UACGUAGGGGGCUAGCGUUGUCCGGAUUCAUUGGGCGUAAAGGGUGCGUAGGUGGCGCUGUAAGUCGGGUGUGAAAUUUCGGAGCUUAACUCCGAAACUGCAUUCGAUACUGCCUGACUUGAGUCCGGAAGGGGCGAGUGGAAUUCCUGGUGUAGCGGUGAAAUGCGCAGAUAUCAGGAGGAACACCAAUGGCGAAGGCAGCUCGCUGGAACGGUACUGACGCUGAGGCGCGAAAGCGUGGGGAGCGAACAGG